CUGCAGGCCUCCAGAGAAGCCCUUCUUGCUGCUGCAGAGCUGCUGAAGUGGAAGACGCUCAAGCACCUGCUGCAGAGAGAGCGGCUGUGGGAGCUUGGAGCGUGCUUGCUGCAGAAGAGCAGGAGCAGGGCUGAAGACUUCAUCCACCAGAGCCUGCCCUACCUGCAGGACCCUCAGGCCAACGUGCGCCUGGCGGCCGUCAGGUUCAUCGGACUCAUCACACGGCGCCUGAGGGAGCAGACCACAGAGAGUCAGGCUGACAUCCUGAGCGCACUUCAGCCCUUGGAGAGUGACUGGGACAUCUCUGUCAGCUCCCUGGCAGCUCGGACAACCUCCAUUCUGAGGAGUCCUUGCGUGCAGCAAAGACCAAGAGGCCUCCUGCGAGCACUGCGCUGCUGCUGGCCGUGAGCCUGGCAGAGGUGCAGCUUGCCUUGGCUAAAGGACUGGGGCUGAAUAAAGCUGCAACAACGUGCCCAAA